GCGAGACCGCAAGCGCAUGCGCAUCCCUCACGGCCUCCACUGGACCCCCACACAGCUACCACUACUGAUACCGUCAUGAUUCUUCACAUUCCCUGUUCUAACUCACUGUUCAGCUAAUGGUACAGGACCACCACAGAACCGGAGUCCAGAGGUCAUCAACAUCUUGUCAAACAGAAAGUUCCCAGCCACAUCCAGAGCAAAUGGAUGACAGACAGCAUCCCACAAUGCCUGUCUACCUUGGAAGACUCCCCCAAGAGCCAACUGACGUCCAAUUGUUAGCUGGAAGCAGUUUUUGAGAGGAACGACACCCCUAUUCCCAUCUACUUGCUUUUUUAUAAUAAGUGAAAGUCUGGGAUGUAAGGAUUCUGUUCUUAAUUACAUCAUCAGCUUGCGAUGGUGUCCUAGCCUAAAAAGCGGGUGGGCCCUCUGUGUGUCCCUCUCUUUCCUUUCUGCUCCUUCCUUCCAUCUGUCCUUUCUCUCUCUCUCCCUCUCCCUCCCUCUCUCCCCCACUCUCUCCCAAUAAAGCUCUAAAAAGAUAA